UGGGGAAUAUUGGACAAUGGGGGGAACCCUGAUCCAGCCAUGCCGCGUGUGUGAAGAAGGCCUUAUGGUUGUAAAGCACUUUAAGCGAGGAGGAGGGUACUGGUAUUAAUACUACCAGGUACUGGACGUUACUCGCAGAAUAAGCACCGGCUAACUCUGUGCCAGCAGCCGCGGUAAUACAGAGGGUGCGAGCGUUAAUCGGAUUUACUGGGCGUAAAGCGUGCGUAGGCGGCUUUUUAAGUCGGAUGUGAAAUCCCCGAGCUUAACUUGGGAAUUGCAUUCGAUACUGGGAAGCUAGAGUAUGGGAGAGGAUGGUAGAAUUCCAGGUGUAGCGGAGAAAUGCGUAGAGAUCUGGAGGAAUACCGAUGGCGAAGGCAGCCAUCUGGCCUAACACUGACGCUGAGGUACGAAAGCAUGGGGAGCAAACAGG
rnacentral:rRNA from 1 species